GAUGAACGCUGGCGGCGUGCCUAAUACAUGCAAGUCGAGCGAACGGACGAGAAGCUUGCUUCUCUGAUGUUAGCGGCGGACGGGUGAGUAACACGUGGAUAACCUACCUAUAAGACUGGGAUAACUUCGGGAAACCGGAGCUAAUACCGGAUAAUAUUUUGAACCGCAUGGUUCAAAAGUGAAAGACGGUCUUGCUGUCACUUAUAGAUGGAUCCGCGCUGCAUUAGCUAGUUGGUAAGGUAACGGCUUACCAAGGCAACGAUGCAUAGCCGACCUGAGAGGGUGAUCGGCCACACUGGAACUGAGACACGGUCCAGACUCCUACGGGAGGCAGCAGUAGGGAAUCUUCCGCAAUGGGCGAAAGCCUGACGGAGCAACGCCGCGUGAGUGAUGAAGGUCUUCGGAUCGUAAAACUCUGUUAUUAGGGAAGAACAUAUGUGUAAGUAACUGUGCACAUCUUGACGGUACCUAAUCAGAAAGCCACGGCUAACUACGUGCCAGCAGCCGCGGUAAUACGUAGGUGGCAAGCGUUAUCCGGAAUUAUUGGGCGUGAAGCGCGCGUAGGCGGUUUUUUAAGUCUGUUGUGAAAGCCCACGGCUCAACCGUGGAGGGUCAUUGGAAACUGGAAAACUUGAGUGCAGAAGAGGAAAGUGGAAUUCCAUGUGUAGCGGUGAAAUGCGCAGAGAUAUGGAGGAACACCAGUGGCGAAGGCGACUUUCUGGUCUGUAACUGACGCUGAUGUGCGAAAGCGUGGGGAUCAAACAGGAUUAGAUACCCUGGUAGUCCACGCCGUAAACGAUGAGUGCUAAGUGUUAGGGGGUUUCCGCCCCUUAGUGCUGCAGCUAACGCAUUAAGCACUCCGCCUGGGGAGUACGACCGCAAGGUUGAAACUCAAAGGAAUUGACGGGGACCCGCACAAGCGGUGGAGCAUGUGGUUUAAUUCGAAGCAACGCGAAGAACCUUACCAAAUCUUGACAUCCUUUGACAACUCUAGAGAUAGAGCCUUCCCCUUCGGGGGACAAAGUGACAGGUGGUGCAUGGUUGUCGUCAGCUCGUGUCGUGAGAUGUUGGGUUAAGUCCCGCAACGAGCGCAACCCUUAAGCUUAGUUGCCAUCAUUAAGUUGGGCACUCUAAGUUGACUGCCGGUGACAAACCGGAGGAAGGUGGGGAUGACGUCAAAUCAUCAUGCCCCUUAUGAUUUGGGCUACACACGUGCUACAAUGGACAAUACAAAGGGCAGCGAAACCGCGAGGUCAAGCAAAUCCCAUAAAGUUGUUCUCAGUUCGGAUUGUAGUCUGCAACUCGACUACAUGAAGCUGGAAUCGCUAGUAAUCGUAGAUCAGCAUGCUACGGUGAAUACGUUCCCGGGUCU
rnacentral:rRNA from 1 species